GACCUGGCUCAGGACGAACGCUGGCGGCGUGCUUAACACAUGCAAGUCGAACGAGAAUCUGCGGAAAGAGGAUUCGUCCAAUUGAAGCAGAGGACAGUGGCGGACGGGUGAGUAACGCGUGAGGAACCUGCCUUUCAGAGGGGGACAACAGUUGGAAACGACUGCUAAUACCGCAUAACAUAUAGAUGUCGCAUGGCAUUUAUAUCAAAGAUUUAUCG
rnacentral:rRNA from 1 species